rnacentral:rRNA from 1 species
UACGAAGGGGGCUAGCGUUGUUCGGAAUUACUGGGCGUAAAGGGUUUGUAGGCGGUUGUUUAAGCUAGGGGUGAAAGCCCGGGGCUUAACCUCGGAAUUGCCGUUAGAACUGGACAGCUUGAGAGUGUUAGAGGAAAGUGGAAUUCCUAGUGUAGGAGUGAAAUCCGUAGAGAUUAGGAGGAAUAUCGAUGGCGAAGGCAGCUUUCUGGGACAUUUCUGACGCUGAGAAACGAAAGCGUGGGUAGCAAACGGG